GAAAUGCGAUAAGUAAUGUGAAUUGCAGAAUUCAGUGAAUCAUCGAAUCUUUGAACGCACAUUGCGCCCGCCAGUAUUCUGGCGGGCAUGCCUGUCCGAGCGUCAUUUCAACCAUCAAGCCCCCGGGCUUGUGUGGGGGACCUGCGGCUGCCCGCAGGCCCUGAAAACCAGUGGCGGGCUCGCUGUCACACCGAGCGUAGUAGCAAUCACCUCGCUCAGGGCGUGCUGCGGGUUCCGGCCGUUAAACAGCCUUACAAAACCCAAGGUUGACCUCGGAUCAGGUAGGAAGACCCGCUGAACUUAAGC
rnacentral:misc_RNA from 1 species